rnacentral:rRNA from 1 species
UACGUAGGGGGCAAGCGUUGUCCGGAUUUAUUGGGUUUAAAGGGUGCGUAGGCGGUCCUAUAAGUCAGUGCUGAAAUAUCCCGGCUUAACCGGGAGGGUGGCAUUGAUACUGCAGGACUUGAGUAAAGUUGAGGUUGGCGGAAUUGACGGUGUAGCGGUGAAAUGCUUAGAUAUCGUCAAGAACACCUAUUGCGAAGGCAGCUAACUAAGCUUUAACUGACGCUGAGGCACGAAAGUGUGGGGAUCAAACAGG